UUCUCUUUCUCCCCAAACGGCCAAACCAGCUCUCUGAUUCAACCACAUCUCUGCCUUUUCAAUUUUCCAAAAACAACUUAGCUAAUUCAAAAUUCAAAUUCGAUUAUUUCCUCUGCACUUUAUUUCCCUUUUCCUUUCAAGCGAGAAACCCUAAAUUCAAAUUCGUUGUUCUGCUUCACCAUCAUUCUAUUCUUCCAAUCAGUGAACUAUAAUCAGCUAUGAAUUCCUUCCCCUUCAUUGUUCUACUUCAUCACCUUUCCCCUCCACGUUUAUGUUUCUUUGGUGAAUCGAUCAAUUGAUCGAUUAAUUGAUAUAUUUUUUUUGAAGUUUAUGAUGAUAAGGGUUGUACGCACUAUGAAUGUGAAAUGGGUUUCAUUAGCAGAAAGGGGAGGUGUAGAUUUCCACUGUCAAUAUGUCUGAAAUCCUUCCCUUCACGAACCCUAAAUCAGGUUGUAUAACCUCAAGGAGCAUUCAGGAUAUGAGAAAUUUUGUCUCCAUCCGAACUUUUAUAUUCAAAAACCCAAAUCGGAUCCAACAUAUGAAGACGCGACUCAUCUUUUGAUGAUACUAUGGAUAUCAAAAUUGUCUUUUUUUAAUGAUAACUUAGCCAAAUAUACCUCGCACAUUCAAAAGCAACUUUAGAUAAGGUACUGAAGGUGCUCCAAGGAUGGAGCUUAGCUUCUUUCUUCUCAUAGGUUCGCUUCUAAUUCUCUUCUGCUCAGAUGUGUCCAAUUAAACAAGUUAGGUUUAACUAAAAUCUUACCUUUCUUGGGUCUUGCCCACUUCUGUUUUUUGUUUGAGAAUCAGUGGAAAACAGGCUCAAUUUGAAAAGAAGACCAGUUAUUUGAUUCCAGGUUGUCUUUAUUUGAAUUAGUUUUACUUUUAUAAUAUAUGUGUUGAAUCAGUUUUACUUUUAUAUAUAUGUGUUGUUAAUGUUAACUUUCACCCUCUUAAGCUUUCACCGUGGAGCUGAUUUGCUUUCUUUGCCAACAAAUGUCGAUCGCCUUGGCGAGGAUGUAACGCAUUACGCAUGUUUACAUUGCAUAACUGUAUCUUGCUCUUGAAUACCUUCGUACUUUAAGAAUUGUCCAUCGAGCUCCAAAACCUGAUAACGUAUUAAUUGCACAUGAUGGGACAUAUAUAGGGCAUCCCCCGCCCCAACCCGAGGUGGAGGAACUGGCGUUGAAUGGCAUCCCCGCCCCAACCAACGGCCCACUCCCCACAGUCUAAAUGACUAAAGUUUGGACCAUUGAAAUAAAUUGGUAAACUCAAUUUUGUGAUGAUAUAAAUAAGUUCUUCCAAGCACAAUCUCAAGUUUUGCAGUUAGGAUGAAUCAUACAUUUAGCUCCACGGUGUCAUUCAUAUCAAAAAAAUUGGCAUUUAGCUCACUAUUCUUCUUCUUUUUUUUUUUUUUUUUUUUUUUUUUUUUGUAGAUUGUGAACGAUGCUACUAAAUAUAAGGUGUAACAUAGAGUCUCAUGUUUCAGUUGUUUUACGGUUACACUUCCAUUUCGCUUUGUGUUUUUAUUACUGCAGCCACUUGAUUUUA